GAACAUCUUGUUCCUGUUUUCCUGCAGCGACACCUCCCGCGGUCCAGCGGUGGAGAAGCCGAGCGGCGGCCUGCAGGUUAGAGCGCUCAAGCGGCGUAAUGCUCUCUUUCCUCUUUAACGGGAUUAGCAGCCAGCGGCGCCCUCCGGUCAAGCGUGCGGCGGGAAGCCAGCGGGUUGUUGGGCAAGGUGUGUGAAGGAGGGAGACCUGGAAAACAGACUGGAAAGCGGCUCCCGAGGACUGGACUCUCCUACCACUGCUCUACAACGACCAAGAUCUGAGCUGUUGCCAGUUUUGGACUCUGCGUGACGUGAACAACAAAUUCAGUGAUGACGAAGAGGAGAGAAGAAAAGAAGAGGGGCAAAGAAAGAGGCAGAAGAAUAA